AUGAACGCUGGCGGCGUGCCUAAUACAUGCAAGUCGAGCGAACAGAUGAGGAGCUUGCUCCUCUGACGUUAGCGGCGGACGGGUGAGUAACACGUGGAUAGCCUACCUAUAAGACUGGGAUAACUUCGGGAAACCGGAGCUAAUACCGGAUAAUAUAUUGAACCGCAUGGUUCAAUAGUGAAAGACGGUUUUGCUGUCACUUAUAGAUGGAUCCGCGCCGCAUUAGCUAGUUGGUAAGGUAACGGCUUACCAAGGCAACGAUGCGUAGCCGACCUGAGAGGGUGGUCGGCCACACUGGAACUGAGACACGGUCCAGACUCCUACGGGAGGCAGCAGUAGGGAAUCUUCCGCAAUGGGCGAAAGCCUGACGGAGCAACGCCGCGUGAGUGAUGAAGGUCUUCGGAUCGUAAAACUCUGUUAUUAGGGAAGAACAAAUGUGUAAGUAACUAUGCACGUCUUGACGGUACCUAAUCAGAAAGCCACGGCUAACUACGUG
rnacentral:rRNA from 1 species